rnacentral:rRNA from 1 species
UACGUAGGGGGCGAGCGUUGUCCGAAGUUACUGGGCGUAAAGAGUACGUAGGUGGCUUGUUAAGAUACAUCUGAAAGGUGACAGCUCAACUGUCAAUGGUGGUGUAAGACUGGCAGGCUUGAGGCAAGCAGAAGAGUGUGGAACUCCGAGUGUAGCGGUGGAAUGCGUAGAGAUUCGGAAGAACACCCAUGGCGAAGGCAGCACUCUGGGCUUGAACCGCAAGGUGAACCUGACACUGAGGUACGAAAGCCAGGGGAGCGAACGGG